UGAGCGUCUUCCAGCAGGAUAACGCUCCACGUCACAGAGCUAAAGUCACACGACCGUGAGUCCAGUCUCCAGACCUGAAUCCGGUCUUCCACGUUUGUGCUGUGGUAAAUCAGGAGAUGCAGUUCAUGUCUAUAUGGAGCAGAGUCUCAGAGGAAAGUUUCCAACAUGUCGCUGAAUCCAUGACAUGAAGACCUGAAGCUGUUUUAGAGCAGAGGGAGGACCCGUACAGUGUUCCUAAUAAAGUGCUCGAUGCAGAUAUAUCACAUUUGGAUAGUGCGGCCAGCACCUCACGAUCAUAACCUCACCUUUCCUUGGUGAUAUAAACCCUCGCCGUCAGCCCGUCCAUCUGGAUGGACACGUCCGGGUUAUUUCAUUGAAAACAAAGAUGCAGCAGUUUUACAUAAAUAUAUUUUGUCAAUGCUUGAACAAAACUUCUUCACAGUCCAUCCAGGAGGUGUUGAGCUAUAAGCGGUGGACUGACAUUCCCACCCUCCGAGCUGAGCCACCAACAAUUACAAACAAAACUAAAAUCACAAUCUCUGAUCUGGAUUAUCAGGAAAAAUCUGUUUUGAUUUUGCACUUCCACUUUAUUUAUGUGCAGUAAAAAAAAAAAAAAAGCAAUAAAUAACCUUCAAACUUGAUUUAUUUGUUGUUUGUGUGGAGUUUUCCUCCUUAUCUGUGUUCACUUUCUACCUCUCUGGCUUCAUGUGCUGCUGUAAUGCUGCGUUUUCCCUCUCGGGAUCAAUAAAGUUUUUUCUUAUA